UGUCUUCGGCCCUUCCCAAUUCGCAGUGUCUUCGACGGUUCGGCCCUUCGCAAUUCACAAUUUGAAAAUAGCAAAUCACAGAUUCGCAAUUGCAAAGCCAAAGAUACAAUGGUCGCAACGAGUCAUUUGGAAAUCUUUUGGAGCAUAAAGGAACGAUGUUAGAGGCCGGGGGAGUUCACUCAAGGAGAUCCGGAGCAAAAAACAUGGAAGAAGCUGGAAAUGCCAGCCAUAUGGCCUCUCAUACGGCCAUAUGGCUGGUCGUAUCGCCCCGUGGCCUGGAGGAAACCAACAGCCUACCAUAUGACCUCUCAUACGGCCGUAUGGAAGGCCGUAUACCCGAUACUCUGUACAGUAUUUAAGCCAUUUUUCUGCAUUUUGUACCCAAGUUCGAACCCUAGCUAGUUUAGAACUAAUUUUUCUUCAUUUCCUUAGAAUUUAUUAGCUUAGUAUAGCUUAGAUUUAUAUUGGAGAACACAACUUGGAGCUUGUAUUGAAGAUUUGGAGUGGAUUCCACCAACUCUUCCCCUUCAUUUCAUAUUAAAAGUGGUUUAUUUCUUCA